rnacentral:lncRNA from 1 species
UCUUAUCUCUUCAAUUUUAUUUACUUUUCCAAGACGCUUGAGAUUACUUUAGGGCUGCUGAAAUAACUUUGAUGUCUGCCCUUCUCUAUACUCUCAUCCCUUCAUUUCUCGCUUUCUUCCUUCAAUCUGGUUCUUUUGCCCUCUCAAUUUCUGCUUGGAUUUCUGCCGCUUCAGGGACUCGUCCGACCAGGUAGGCUCCUCUACUACUCUUCAGCGCUUCAUUUGCUAAUAUAUGCGCAAGGUUGUUUGCUAAUCUUGGGAUAUGCUCAAACCUACACUCCUUGAAUUUAAUCAGAAGUUGAUGAAUAUCAUGUAAAUACGCACUAAUCAAUGAUUUAUCGGGGCUUUUUGUUUUACAUUUUCUUAUUAUUGAUAAAGAAUCCCCUUCAAUAAUAACUCUUUCCCACUGCAUGUUAACGCCGAUCUGGAGGGCUUUCCGACACGCUAUUACUUCCGCCCCAAAGGCUGAGGGAACUCUUUGAUGAACCUCCGUACAUGAUAGAAGAACUGAACCCUCCUUAUCGCGGGCCACAACCCCAAUAGCCGCUUUACUUUGUCUACCGUCGUACGCUGCAUCGAAAUUGAUUUUGACUACCUUGUCCACUGGCUUUGUCCAUAUUUUUACAGGUAUGGAAGAUUGCAACCUAUUUUUACCAACUGCAUCAAGAUCUGAAAUAUAGCUAUGAACAAAUCUCCCUACUUCUUUUCCAGAUUUACCAUCUUUUUUAUGCAAUCUAUUGUUUCUGUCUCCCCAGAUGGCCCAUACUGCAACACAAAAGAUUCGAUGCUGAGAAGUCGAGCUUCGUGAGAAAACCCAGGUUAGCCACUGUAGAAACCCCAUUUGAUUGUCUUGCAAAAACCUAUGAAAAGAUAACUCUCUCCAUACUGUUAUUGUAGCAGGACAUUCCCGGAAAAGAUGGUCCAUAGUUUCAGUUCCUAAACUACAGCGAGGACAUACUGCCGUGUUCGUCAGUCUUCUAAGUAGCAUAUUAGCUCGCGUAGCUAGAAAAUUCCAAGAUAUCUUCCAAACUGUAAUUUUAAUUUUUGAAGGAAGAUCAAGUAGCCAUAGUUUUCUGUAGAAGUCCUUGUAGUCAUUUUGUAAAGCAUAAGCUUCAGGGUUAUUUUCAAUGCUUUGUAAUAGUUUAUAGGCGCUCCGUGUUGUGAACUCACCCGUCGCUUCAACGCUCCAAACUUGGAAAUCUUCGUGCGGUGUUUCAGCUAGUGGGAUACUGAGGAUCUUCUCUGCUACAUCCUCCGGAAAGGUAUGCUCUACCAACUCUUGUUUCCAUGUUCUGCUACUUGAAUCAAUUAGCUCUGCAACUUUACUAUCAUUCAAAUUUGAACUUAAAACUGGUAAUCUAUCACGCGGUAAAACUGGAAUCCAAUAAUCACGACUGAUUGAAAUUUUUGUACCUCGACCCACCUUCCAACAUAAGCCCUCUGCUAGAAUGCCCUUAGCAGCCCAAAUACUUUUCCAUGUAUACGAUAUAUUAUUCCCCAA